GAAACGCUGGCGGCAGGCUUUAACACAUGCAAGUCGAACGGUAACAUAAAGAAGCCUGCUUCUUUGUAUGACGAGUGGCGGACGGGUGAGUAAUGCUUGGGAAUCUAGCUUAUGGAGGGGGAUAACUACGGGAAACUGUAGCUAAUACCGCGUAAUAUCGAAAAGAUUAAAAGUGUGGGACCUUCGGGCCACAUGCCAUAGGAUGAGCCCAAGUGGGAUUAGGUAGUUGGUGAGGUAAAGGCUCACCAAGCCGACGAUCUCUAGCUGGUCUGAGAGGAUGACCAGCCACACUGGGACUGAGACACGGCCCAGACUCCUACGGGAGGCAGCAGGUGGGAAUAUUGCGCAAUGGGGGCAACCCUGACGCAGCCAUGCCGCGUGAAUGAAGAAGGCCUUCGGGUUGUAAAGUUCUUUCGGUAGCGAGGAAGGCAUUUAGUUUAAUAGACUAGGUGAUUGACGUUAACUACAGAAGAAGCACCGGCUAACUCCGUG
rnacentral:rRNA from 1 species